rnacentral:rRNA from 1 species
AGUGAACGCUGGCGGUAGGCCUAACACAUGCAAGUCGAACGGCAGCACAGUAAGAGCUUGCUCUUACGGGUGGCGAGUGGCGGACGGGUGAGGCAUACAUCGGAAUCUACUUUUUCGUGGGGGAUAACGUAGGGACACUUACGCUAAUACCGCAUACGACCUACGGGUUAAAUCAGUGGAUCUUCGGACCUUGCGCGAUUGAAUGAGCCGAUGUCGGAUUAGCUAGUUGGCGGGGUAAAGGCCCACCAAGGCGACGAUCCGUAGCUGGUCUGAGAGGAUGAUCAGCCACACUGGAACUGAGACACGGUCCAGACUCCUACGGGAGGCAGCAGUGGGGAAUAUUGGGCAAUGGGCGCAAGCCUGAUCCAGCCAUACCGCGUGAGUGAAGAAGGCCUUCGGGUUGUAAAGCCCUGUUGUUGGGAAAGAAAAGCAGCAGGUUAAAACCCCGCUGUUCUGACGGUACCCAAAGAAUAAGCACCGGCUAACUUCGUG